UACAGAGGGUGCGAGCGUUAAUCGGAAUUACUGGGCGUAAAGCGUGCGUAGGCGGUCAUGUAAGUCGGGUGUGAAAGCCCCGGGCUCAACCUGGGAAUUGCAUUCGAGACUGCAUGGCUAGGAUGCGGAAGAGGGAAGCGGAAUUUCCGGUGUAGCGGUGAAAUGCGUAGAUAUCGGAAGGAACACCAGUGGCGAAAGCGGCUUCCUGGUCCAGCAUCGACGUUCAGGCACGAAAGCGUGGGGAGCAAACAGG
rnacentral:rRNA from 1 species